CUUUGUAGUAAUACAAGGCAUACGGCUCAGUAACGCGUAGUCAACCUACCCUAUGGACGGGGAUAAUCUCGGGAAACUGAGCAUAAUACCCGGCAGACCACUUAUCCUGGAAUGGUUAGUGGUUAAAAUGAUUCGUCGCCAUAGGAUGGGACUGCGGCCUAUCAGCUUGUUGGUGAGGUAAUGGCCCACCAAGGCGAUUACAGGUACGGGCUCUGAGAGGAGAGGCCCGGAGAUGGGUACUGAGACAAGGACCCAGGCCCUAUGGGGCGCAGCAGGCGAGAAAACUUUGCAAUGUGCGAAAGCACGACAAGGUUAAUCCGAGUGAUUUCUGCUAAAGGAAUCUUUUGUUAGUUCUAAAAAUACUAGUGAAUAAGGGGUGGGCAAGUUCUGGUGUCAGCCGCCGCGGUAAAACCAGCACCUCAAGUGGUCAGGAGGAUUAUUGGGCCUAAAGC
rnacentral:rRNA from 1 species